UUUAAAUUUUAUUUAGCAAAUAGCCCACCCCUCUCACACCAAGCCCCUGUUUGCUGUUCUCUCUCUUCUUCUGUCCCCACUGUCCCUCCCUCCAUUUCCGUUCCCAAAGAGUGCCCCCCAUCUCCUGCCAGGCAAACCCCAUUGAUGGAGUCGCCCUGCCUUCCAGACCCGGCCAGUAGAGCCCUGCCUCAGGAAAGCAGCCCAAAGGCCUCUGGGAGUUGAAGCAGACCAAGCUGAGUGUGAACCAUCUCUUGGAAGAGAUGGUUCCUGAAAUGAGAUCGGCUGGCCAGCUGGGAGCCAUUCUUCGCUGCCACAGACAAUGGGCAGCUAAUGACAAUGGUUCCGGGACUGGAGACCCCUGAGAUUUGGGGUGUCCUGCCCCCACGCUGAUGGGGGGGAACCAAGUGCCACCCCCUUGCCACAGGCUCCCCCUCCCGCCCCCUCCCCCCACCUUCUGUUCCCACCAGUGCUUAUUGUUCCUGGUGCCACUGGGAGGGAGACAGGAGGGUCCAACCUUAGUCACUGUCUAAGCGAGCAGCGAAGUUUGGUGAUCCCUCAAUCCCCUGACCAUCCUUCAUCUGGAGGCUGGCUGAGCCCCCCUGAUGACUAAGCAGCCAGAAGGGAGUACCCGAGUGCUAGUGAGCCGGGCCCUACACAAAGUGGCAUCGGCAUCCUCGCCACCACCAUAUUUACUGCUACGUUGGACCACUUCUGCCUCCAACCUACCCUGAAGCCGUGUGUGCCCGGCUCUCCACCUCCACGGCUUCACCCUGGCCUCCUCUCUCGCCUGGACCCUGUGCUAGCCUCCCAGGGCAUCCCCUUGAUUCCACUCAGGCCUGCACGGAGGCAGAGAGGCUUUUAAAAACAUAGAUGCGAACAUGUCAGGCCCCCAUCGAAAACCUCUUCAAUGGCUCCCUGUUGCACCUAGAGCAAAAUACCCACUCCUCGCCAUGGCCCAAGAGGCCCUGCCUGUCUGUCCAGCCUCACCCUGAGUGACUCUCCCUCCCCCACGACCCCACAACUGCCCUGGCCUCCCUUCAGUCCCUCAGAACUCCAGCAUCCUCCACCUCCAAGGUCAGGAGCCAGCACAGCCUCAGUCUCCGCCCGAAGCUCAGGGCCGCACAGCUGCUACCCACACAGGAGAGUCUGGCGGCGGGCACAGUCACGAGCUCCGGCCUGGAGCUCACCCUCCUGCUCGGGAACCCCUGCUCAGUCAUGGAAACACAGGAAGCUCUCCUGAGCCUGGGCGAGGACCCCGCAUCGCUGCCCACUUUCCCAGGAUGGGCGUUGAUUUCCCACGGAUCUCGUGACGCAGUGGUUCUCAGCCAGAGGCAAAGCCAUCCCCCAGGGGACAUUUGGCAAUGUAGCCAGACAUUUUGAGUUGUCACAACUGGAGCAGUGCUAUUGGAUGCUGCCAACCAUCCCGCCGAGCCCAGGACAGCCCCGCCACACGGAAUCAUCUGGUCCAAAAUGUCAACAACGUCGAGAUGGAGAAAUUCGGGCCUGGAGCAUU